CCCUUUCUGCUGGAAAACAGUCAGUCAGAGCGCUGUGGAAGGAACUCUGAAAGGAGAAGUAUUGAGUUAAAUCUGUUUCAAAAUCAAAUUCAGUAUCACAAUGGUACCAUUAAAAGCAGUUGAAUGGUACUUCACUGUCGAGAGUGAUCUAGCUUGAGGAGAUGCUGUCUUAGGAGCUUAAUUAUAUGUUGAAGAAAGACAUGUUUUUUUUUUUUAUUCUCACGAUUCUUGUAAGCAACGUGGAUAGAAUGCUUCCAUCAAAAAGGCAAUCAUUAAGUCUUCUCUGAUGUGAAGACCAUGGCAGACAGCUUAAUGUGCUCUGAUUGUAAUGUGAUUAGCACUUAGGUAACGCAUCACAAAAUAAUUUCUUUCUUUUUCUUUAGAGUGAUGCUAAUACCAUAAUAGCCACAUCACUCUGAUGGUCGCGGCUGUUCUCCAUGACAACCACAUGAGAGCAGCAACAGUCAGGCGAGACCUUCGUUGUUCUUUGCUGUGGUGAUUAGUCUAUUGAGUUUAGCAUGUGCGAAAGAAGUGCCUUUUGAAAUGACUGAUAGGGCUGUACAGGGUCGUGCAAAAUUCUAAUUGCUAUUCUGCUUCCUGUUUGCUACCUCAGUUGAAAUGCAAGUAAAAUUCAAGAACUAAAAUGGAAUUGAAGAGCCAGCUUCAAUUCAAUUCUGGAAUGUUGCAGAACCCUGCUGUACAUACACAUAAUGUUGUAUUUCCAUGACGUAUCUGUAGAACGAGUUGCAGAACCCUGCUGUACAUAGCCUACACGUAAUGUCGUAUUUCCAUGAUGUAGCGGCCUAUCUGUAGAACGAGUGCAGUAAAUGGAGCAAAGAGUGUGUAAGCCCAGCCUCCAACACAUGCACCCGCCCUCGGCAGUCUGGUUCUAUCAGAGCGCUACACAUUAUCUGGAGCAGAGAAUCUCAGUACUUGAAUGGACAAUGCUCAACAGCAUUCUUCACACUCAGACCUUGUAAAAUUAAACCAACCAAGCCUAGGUCCUAUAUGAGAGUGAGAAAGAAUUGCCUAUCCAGUGGUGAGAUCCUGCUUUGUUGCCAGAACAAUUAGGAGUCUUUCCCCUUUGUUAUGUUCUGAGUCCCGAUUAUGUGGUCGGUGGAAAGUGAUCGAUGCUGGGGCUCAUCAGCUGUGAUGGAUCUACCUGAGAAAUGCAUGCAGGGUCAGGUUAAUGGAGACAUACGACUCCUCCACCCUUUCACCCACCUGCAUCCGUCACACCAAGCACCCAAGCCACAUUCACAGGUAUGGAUGGAGCUGCUCGACGCAGUAAGCGGCUACAAUUUCAAACGUGUCCAUAUUACCAAGACAAAAAACUGUGCACCAAUAGUUUAACAUGAGGGAUACAACAAAACAAGGGUUUAUUCCCCUUUUGACAGCUUUUUUUACAUUUUGAAACAAACCAAUGGCAUUUAAUGUCCGCAUUUAAGGACAUUGUAAAGACUUGAAUGUUAUGGUAAUGUUUCACAUCCUAGUGCAAGAUGCAAAGCAACGCAACAUGGCAUGUACAACAGGAUAAUAGUACUUCCUUGACGUCAAACCCAUAACACUGGUGUUGUUAGCAUCUUGAUUGAUGAGCUGAACAACAUGAGGGGACACUGUGUUCAAGGAGAACUGAGCAGACAACGAUGUUGGAUUAAAAAGGUGCACUCAAGACUGUUCCUUGUGGCACUGCCGUUGGAUAAAAAGGUGCCCUCAAGACUGUGUUCCCUGGAACUGCUGAAAUACAUACAGAGGUAGAGGAUGUACCAUCUGUAAAAACUUUGAA